AUUGAACGCUGGCGGCAUGCCUUACACAUGCAAGUCGAACGGCAGCACGGGAGCAAUCCUGGUGGCGAGUGGCGAACGGGUGAGUAAUGUAUCGGAACGUGCCCAGUCGUGGGGGAUAACGCAGCGAAAGCUGUGCUAAUACCGCAUACGAUCUAAGGAUGAAAGCGGGGGAUCGCAAGACCUCGCGCGAUUGGAGUGGCCGAUAUCAGAUUAGCUAGUUGGUGGGGUAAAGGCUCACCAAGGCGACGAUCUGUAGCUGGUCUGAGAGGACGACCAGACACACUGGAACUGAGACACGGUCCAGACUCCUACGGGAGGCAGCAGUGGGGAAUUUUGGACAAUGGGCGCAAGCCUGAUCCAGCAAUGCCGCGUGCAGGAUGAAGGCCUUCGGGUUGUAAACUGCUUUUGUACGGAGCGAAAAGGUCCUCUCUAAUACAGGGGGCUCAUGACGGUACCGUAAGAAUAAGCACCGGCUAACUACGUGCCAGCCGCCGCCGUAA
rnacentral:rRNA from 1 species